GGACACCCAGGGACUGCCUCUUCUCCACUGUCACAACGUCAAUUUCUUCACCCUCUGUCCGAGAAGAGAGAUCAACAGAAGAAACACACCCCAUGAGAAACACAUACACAGACCCUAUGCUGGAGUUUGGGAAAGGAGGUCGCCUGCCCCACCCACUUUCCUGGACCAGAAGAGGAUUGGAUUUGUAAUCGCAGGUCGGCAGAAGCCGCAGGAACUUCACAAAGAUCUCUUAGGUUACCCCAACCAGGAGAGGGACAAUUAGGGGAGAACGUUACUGCUCCGCACUGUUUUGCAGCCUCCACAGAGAAGGCCACCUUUAUGCAUUUCAGCCUGACAACAGAAGAGCUCAGUUCUCAGCCUCUUUCGCAAAUCACGAAGCUUGAGCCCCUUUGUCAGGAAGGCUUCCAUUGUGUGGACAAUCGCAUUAUUUCUCCAUUAAUAAAACCUGACCAUUCAGCCCUCCUGGCCCCA